rnacentral:rRNA from 1 species
AGCGAACGUUAGCGGCGCGCCUAACACAUGCAAGUCGAGCGAGAAUUGGGGCUUCGGCUCCAUAGUAAAGCGGCGCACGGGUGAGUAACACGUAGGUAAUCUGCCUCUUGGUAGGGGACAACCUUCCGAAAGGAGGGCUAAUACCGCAUAAGACCACGCUGACCUUUGUCAGAGGGGUUAAAGCUGGCCUCUUCAUGAAAGCUCUCGCCAAGAGAUGAGCCUGCGUCCCAUCAGCUAGUUGGUAAGGUAAUGGCUUACCAAGGCUAAGACGGGUAGCUGGUCUGAGAGGAUGAUCAGCCACACUGGAACUGAGACACGGUCCAGACUCCUACGGGAGGCAGCAGUGGGGAAUCUUGCGCAAUGGGCGAAAGCCUGACGCAGCGACGCCGCGUGGGUGAUGAAGGCCUUCGGGUUGUAAAGCCCUGUGGGGAGGGACGAACAAGUUGCGACCUAACACGUCGUGACUCUGACGGUACCUCUUUAGCAAGCACCGGCUAACUCUGUGCCAGCCGCCGCUGUAAUAC